AUUAGCGACCGACCGCUAACACACACAUUUAUACACACACAGUAGACGUACUCCUGACUCCGUACUGCCACGGAUCACUGUGUGUUUACAGUGGAGGGAUUCUUAGCUAAGCCCGAUAAUUUAACUGUUGUUGAGUUUAAGCAAAGGUGCUCCACACUUUCUAUUCCGCAGCAUCCACACUCAAUAUAUGCUAAGCCUCAUUCUCCUGGUGCGCAUAAUUCUGGCCGGCUCUUACCGAGCCCCGCAGACGCGAACACACAGCCCCGUCCUCCUUACCGCCUCUGCCAAUAGCUGCCAAGGAAAAUCAAUAUGUCAAUGCACAUUGCAAAUGUUGGGUCUUGACUUUGCAAAGUAAUGUCUGCUUGUCUCUGCAAUUUUUGCUUUGUGCACAGGGAGAAGAAGAAAAAAAAAAAAAGAUCUCCUCUCCCACGGAUAUCGGGUGAUAAAAACGUAAGCAGCGCUGGUGUUUGUUGUGUUCCUGGUAAAAAGUAAUGACAGAGAUGUUUUUCUACAACAUGUUUUUUCUUUUUUUUUUUUUUCCUCUGAAGUCUGACACCCAGAGUGAUCGGGAAGAGACAGAGACAUCGUGUCUGUAACUCUGUUCACAACCAAAAGUCUGGUUUCCAGCUACCUUUGGAAACAACCGUUCACAGAUUCAAACCCUCAACUCUUUUAUCCAGACACAGGAAGUGCAGCAUCAUGGGUCAGGGGGACGGAAAACAUUCCAGUAAAAACACGACUGCACCAACGCUCGGGACGUGGACGUGGAAUCAACUUAAAAGGCCUGAGCGAACCGUUUGACACUGACCAGAGACGGUGACACGGCCGGGGGGGUCAACAUUCAUCAAGGA